UACAGGGGGUGCAAACGUUGCUCGGAAUCAUUGGGCGUAAAGCGCACGUAGGCGGUUCGUUAUGUCGGAUGUGAAAGCCCUUGGCUUAACCGAGGAAGUGCAUCCGAAACUGGCGAGCUAGAGUACUAAAGAGGAUCGCGGAAUUCCCGGUGUAGAGGUGAAAUUCGUAGAUAUCGGGAGGAACACCGGUGGCGAAGGCGGCGACCUGGGACAAUACUGACGCUGAGGUGCGAAAGCGUGGGGAGCAAACAGG
rnacentral:rRNA from 1 species